GUUGCCGCUUGCUGCAGCCAGGCUGAGCGAUGGCGAGGUGGUUAAUCAUGGUGGCUGAGGAAACAUGGGGUCACUUCUCCCCCUUCCGCCUCCCGUGUGACGAGGACGGUGGGCACCGGCCACGGGGGGGGACCCGGACCCCGCACGGACCCGCCGGCGGCGACUCAGCUCUGUCCAGCUGGCAGCACCUUCACUUGAACCACAACGACAGCAGGUAAUUGUAACAGAGCAGUCCCUGUCAAAACAAGGAAGAUCUACUAUGCCACUGGAUAAUGAAAUGGAACAACUCAUGCAAGCAAUAAAGAAAAAGCACUGCUGGGAAGAUGGAAAGUCAUACUCAGGCCUUUAAAGACUAUAAAAACAGUUCAGGAAAAGAGUGGGCUGUUGAGUGUAUCACUGCACAACAGGAGAAUUGUGCUACCGAGCAGCAUCCGUGGACUCGCUUUGCACCAGGAAUUCCUGCUGAGCAACCGUGGUGUUCAUUCCCAGCAUCAUUAGCACUUCCUUCAUGGAAUCCCUUGGUGGACACUCCCCUAUUCCAGUACACUGGCAGUUGCUGACACCAGUCCAUGCCAAACAAUUUAAGAAAUGGUGUAGAAAACAACAAUGAAAUAUAUAAUGUGUAGUCUUCCUAAAUCCUCAGAGUUAAAAGGGAGUUUUUGCUGUUUGCUUUGCAUUAGUGUUUUUCAAUGCUUUGUGAUCUGUCUCUGUUCUUUGAAGUGAUGCAAACUUCUACCCUUUUCUGGAAUUAUUUUAUUUUUUUUAUGCCUAGCAAUGUGAAUUCUAUCAACAACUAUGCCUUGUGUGCAAGUCUGAGUGUGUUUCUUUUCUAUUUUACUGACACUGUCCUAGUGCUGGCUUAUGUGAAAAAGUAAUUAAGGAGCAUCCAUCCACCUGCUGUACAUGAAUCAUUAUUUUCUGUGUAAUGCUAUUAUACUUUUUAAUGGUAACUGAAGUCAGUGCUCUUGCUGCACUGUGCUGGGAGGAUGCUCAAGUCAGUUUCCAAUCAACUCUCAGCUGCUGCUGCUGCAGCUCGGUGGCUCCAGCUGUGAGCACAUCUGGGGCUGCCAAGCCCAUGCCAGCACAGAGUCAGACCUGCACUGCUGCUCUGCCAGGAGCAAUUCCAGCUCCCUCAGCCAGGGCUGCAGUGGGGCUACAACUUCAUCUUUCCCCUGCUUCCCCCUGCAGUGGCUUUGUCACCUAAUUCAGUGACCAAUUCACCUAAUUUGUUCAUUUGUCACCUCAUUCAGUGCUUGUUUAUUAGCAGCUGCCUUUCUUUCUCGGACCAUGUUUUUCAUAUGUUUAUGCACACUUCUUUUUUCAAAGAACAUGCAAAGACCAAGUUCUUGGGUGUUCUAGAAACACCACACAUCAGUCAUACUGUGUGUAUACAUGGGUAGGAAGGACUUCCCUUUCACUUCAUUACUCUCAGUAUCUUUUCCCUCUGGUAAACCACAGUGUUUUUUCUAAAGGACCUUCCAGUGGCAAUAUCCUUAGGAUCACAGCAGGAGCAGAUGACUGUGACAUUGUGUGAGGGAAGAGGUGAAGGCUGCCCAGUUCUUUGCCCUCUGAGCUGUCUUGGCCCUGCUCCCCCUGGAGUUUCUAUUUUUAUUUCUGCUCCCAGAACUGAGAAGAAAAACCAAGGGUUGUGUGUCCCUCUUUGCAGUUGCACAAUACCACUUCCAAUGAGGUCUUCUGAGUGUACUGGAUUUUUAUCUAAGAUUUAGUGUCAGAGGCAUUGUAUAUUAUAUUAUUCACUAUGUAAUGACAGCAAUUUCUUACUAUUAAUUGCUUUUUCAACUUCAUGGUAUUCAGGAGUCAGAAAGUACCAAAAGAAAGAAACAAACAAAAAACCAGAAAACCCCCUUAUUUUUCUGAGGGCAACAAUCUAACUUUUAUUUAAAAUUUCAUUGUAUAUAUAUUUGUGUGUGUAUACAAAUGUAUAUAUAUAUAUAUAUAUAUAUAUAUAUAUAUAUAUUCUCCUGUGUUCAGCUCAGGCAGCCUACAUUUAUUAUUCAGACAGUGUCACCACUAAAAUCUUUACAACUUUGCCUUUGAGAGAAUAUAAGAUUACAAUACUAUUCCUUAAGUGCUUUCUUUCCCUUAACUGAGGGAAUGCUUUCCUUUUAUUAAUUACCUGGAAAAGCAUUUAUAUAGAUUUUAAAUGCUGACAACUAUAAUGUUUACAAUGUCAGCCUAUGAUUAAUUGCACUUUGGCAGUGUGUAUAGAAUGGAUACCAGCUAUAGUCAAUAAUAUUACUCUUUGAGGCACGUUUCACAAAAAUAAUUGCUUUUUAUAUUUGUGUUUUGGUCUAAUGAAAUGAACAAUCUCAAAGCAUAGGACAAGGUCAAACAAAGCAUCUUCAGCUGCAUCUGGGAGACACCAUUGGAGAAAAUAAUUUAUAUUGCUUCAGACUCCUUGGCUGAGAGAGGAUCUGUCUGUCCCUUACUCUCUUCAUUCCAUAGCCCUGCUCCCUUUCUCCACUGUCUCUUGCCCUGCUGACCUGUGUUAUGUGGCUGUGUUGGGUGCAGUAAGAAAGUUGAUAUUUGCAUUUAUUUGUAUAUGUACAAAUGAUAAAUUGUACAAAGGGUGUUGAUACUUGCCAUCACUUGGAAUUUUUAGUUCUCCUCCUGGUAGCUGUUCUCAGAUGACACAAGAAUAUGGUUUAAAGGUAUAAUUUUUCUUCUUCUUUCUCUAGCACUGCCUGUAAUUCAAUAAAGCUAGGAGUUUGUUU